ACGGCUCAGUAACACGUGGAUAACCUGCCCAAGGGUCCGGGAUACCCCCGGGAAACUGGGGAUAAGACCGGAUAGGCCAGAGCACCUGGAAGGAGUUCUGGUUUAAACGUGAGGCCUUUGGAUGGGUCUGCGGCGGAUUAGGUUGACGCCGGUGUAACGUACCGGCGUGCCCGUCAUCCGUACGGGUUGUGGGAGCAAGAGCCCGGAGAUGGAUUCUGAGACACGAAUCCAGGCCCUACGGGGCGCAGCAGGCGCGAAAACUCUACAAUGCAGGAGACUGCGAUAGGGGGACAUCGAGUGGCAUCCACCUUGGGUGCCUGUCCAACCGUCUAAAAAACGGUUGUUAGCAAGGGCCGGGUAAGACCGGUGCCAGCCGCCGCGGUAAUACCGGCGGCUCGAGUGGUGGCCGAUAUUAUUGAGUCUAAAGGGUCCGUAGCCGGCUUUGCAAGUCCCCUGGGAAAUCCAGCGGCUUAACCGUUGGGCUUUCAUGGGAUACUACAUUGCUUGGGACUGGGAGAGGUAGGAGGUACUCGGGGGGUAGGGGGGUGAAAUCCUGUAAUCCUCCGGGGACCACCGGUGGCGAAGGCGUCCUACCAGAACAGGUCCGACGGUGAGGGACGAAAGCUAGGGGCACGAACCGGAUUAGAUACCCGGGUAGUCCUAGCCGUAAACGAUGCCCGCUAGGUGUCACGACAGUCGUGAAUUGUCGUGGUGCCGUACGGAAGCCGCGAAGCGGGCCACUUGGGAAGUACGACCGCAAGGUUGAAACUUAAAGGAAUUGGCGGGGGAG
rnacentral:rRNA from 1 species